CNGCCUCAGACAAUGACUUUGUCACACCAGA
rnacentral:piRNA from 1 species